rnacentral:rRNA from 1 species
AACGCGAAGAACCUUACCUAAGCUUGACAUCCUUUUGACAGAUGCCUAAUCGCAUCUUUCCCUUCGGGGACAGAAGUGACAGGUGGUGCAUGGUUGUCGUCAGCUCGUGUCGUGAGAUGUUGGGUUAAGUCCCGCAACGAGCGCAACCCUUGCCUUUAGUUGCCAGCAUUAAGUUGGGCACUCUAGAGGGACUGCCAGGGAUAACCUGGAGGAAGGUGGGGAUGACGUCAAAUCAUCAUGCCCCUUAUGCUUAGGGCUACACACGUGCUACAAUGGGUGGUACAGAGGGCAGCCAAGUCGUGAGGCGGAGCUAAUCCCUUAAAGCCAUUCUCAGUUCGGAUUGUAGGCUGAAACUCGCCUACAUGAAGCUGGAGUUAAUAGUAAUCGCAGAUCAGAAUGCUGCGGUGAAUGCGUUCACGGGCCUUGUACACACCG